rfam:Nestor notabilis contig82824, whole genome shotgun sequence.
GGGGAUGUAGCUCAGCAGGAGAGCGCUUGCUUUGCAUGUAAGAGGCCCUGGGUUCAACCCCCAGCAUCUCCA